rnacentral:lncRNA from 1 species
CAUCAUGUAGAUCUCCGGCUCGAAGUUGUGCGGCUUGUCGGGCUUGCCCAUCUCGAUGACGCAGAACACCACGAUGAAGACGGCCGCCCCGAUGUACAGGUACUCCCCCUGGCGACACAAGCAGACGCGUCUCCGAUCCGAUCAGUAGAUGCAGGUGACGAGUUUUUUUUUUUUUUUUUUUGGGGCACAAAUGCUUGGAGCGCAGGAAUUUCACAGGAAACAAUUCACUUUCCCGACAGAAAGCACAAUUCACUUCCGACCAGGAAACUUCGUGUUCCAAACAGGGGACUAGGUACUGGGAGGAGGAAGUGCUGGAUCCUUACCG